rnacentral:tRNA from 1 species
GGAUUGCAGAGCGGUCGAAUGCGGCGGUCUUGCCCGAAGGAUCCUUUGGAAAAACCGUUGACUGUCACAGGUCCGGGGGUUCGAAUCCCUCUCUCUCCG